rnacentral:tRNA from 1 species
GGCCUGGUGGCUCAGUGGUUGAGUUUCUGCUUUUGGCUCAGGUCGUGAUCCCGGGGUCCUGGGAUCAAGUCCCAUUCAGGCUC